rnacentral:rRNA from 1 species
UACGAAGGGGGCUAGCGUUGCUCGGAAUUAUUGGGCGUAAAGGGCUCGUAGGCGGUUUGUCACGUCGGGCGUGAAAACUCAGGGCUCAACCCUGAGCGUGCGUUCGAUACGGGCAGACUAGAGGUAUGCAGGGGAGAACGGAAUUCCUGGUGUAGCGGUGGAAUGCGCAGAUAUCAGGAGGAACACCGGUGGCGAAGGCGGUUCUCUGGGCAUUACCUGACGCUGAGGAGGGAAAGCAUGGGGAGCGAACAGG